AUUUUUCGUGUGUUGCCAAUAAAAUGUAGAUUGUAUGCAGGUUGAUGGUCUCCAUAUAGUUGAUGUUAAACUACAUGCUGUAUGCAAGCAAACAACCGGGAAUAGAAGUGAAUGGAUUUGAAGUGGAACUUGUUCUGUGUUAGCAAUAAAAUUUAUUUAUAUGCAAGUGGAAGUUCGUGAUAAAAUUAUAUUGAUCACCUUAUAUCUCCUCCUUUAUCAAAAUCAAUAAUUAUUCAGUGAAACAACAACAAGAGAGGCCAUUAGUCUAUUAUAGUUUGACCUGAAAGUGAGGAAAUGAGUGACACCUGGUAAUUUUUGUAGAGCACGAGACAAAUACCUCAAGGGCAAGCGGAUGGUGACGGUCCUCCACGAAGUGGUACCAGAAACGUGAUGUCUCUCCAAAUGAAGGAGUAUGCUAUGGCGAUGUGUCUUUACGGCUAAAUGUCUCCCGGUUGACGUGUUAUUCGGCAGGAUUAUCAAAGUGGACUUUAGAGCAGUAUUGCCACUCAUCAAAAUUAUUUCCUUUUCUUCCAAAAUUAAAAAUAAAUCCUGCUAUAACCGACCAAAACUAA
rnacentral:sRNA from 1 species